rnacentral:lncRNA from 1 species
AGAGAUUUUCGGCUUAACGAGCACUUCCUCGAACACGAUCCCGUUUCAGGCUCCCAGCAGCUUGGUGGCGUGGGCCCAGCUGCCUUGGACACACAAGGAAAUCGAGGUGCGGCGUGUGAGUUGAGGGGCCUUGGGUCACACAGACUCGAUGGCAGGGCUGAGCCUGUCCUGAGCCCGACUCACGCUGGGUCCGCGUUCUUCCUCGAAGCUCAGUUCACUAGCAGUGUCUGGCCAGCGUUUGCCACGAACGUGGUCAGGGAGAGAGGAGACGCCCCCCGAGGCGUCAGGAUCCCCAGAGGUGCCGUGGGUGUCUGGCUCCCUGUCACAGGAGAGCAAGGAGUGGGGGGAUGCUGCUCACGUUCAAGGGCGAAGGGCCGCCUCCCUCCUGCUCCUCGGCCCCAGAGGAAGCACAGCCUUUUCCCCCUGGCAGGCGUUCCCUCUCAAUCCCGCGCCCUUGCUCCAACGCCCCGGGCUUCCCCAGCGCUGGCUGGCGGGAGAACUUGUCACCCUUCGUGUACUCAGCUGUCUCCCCAGCUUGGGGGCGGGGCUUGUUGUCCUUCUGUCUCUGAGGCUCCUCCUGGAACAGGGGCUGCUCCUAGUAGGUGGUCAAUACAGGAAUGCAGAACGAUGACUCAUCCCGGACUUUUCCCUCUGAUCUCAUUCUCCUUGGGCUCUUGGCAGAGCUCAACUGGGAGAUUACAACCUGCUCUCAGCAGAGCAGUGCAGCACGAGGGGGCCUCGGGGCCUGACACAGUCCCCGAGCUUCGGUUGCCAGCUCUACCAAGUGGCAAGGUUUCCGUGUGUGUCCACCUGGGGCUGGUUGGAGGACUGGCCGCAGGGUCCAUCAGCUACGUGACCUUGGACAAUGACAAAAUGCCUUCCAGGACUAAAAAGAAUUGGUGAGGUACACAGCAAAACAGAUGAAUCUCAAAAACAUGCUGAGGUAAAGAAGCCAGACCCAAAGACAUCUCCGCCGUGGCCAGAUGGAGAUUCAAGACCCAAGCCUGCUUUUCUGCAUCAGUGCCGGCUCUGCGUGUUAAGAUACAACAGUCAAAACAGAAACCACAGCCACAGCCACAGCCUGCAAAAAUUCCCAGGCCAGAGACGGAGUGCAAGCCACAUCAGGGAUAACGCUGGAUCCUUAACACACCAAGCCACCACGGAACUCUGAGUUGAGGUUAUUUCUGAUCCAGGUAAGCAAGGCAUCUUCGGGCCACCUCCCCACUCAGAUUCCCAAGAGAAGCUGGAGCGAGGGCUCCUGCCCCAUUUUCCACUAAGGUACUGGCUGAGUCUGCCAGCCUCACUGUCUUGUCUUCUGGGAAACGGGUUACAUGGAUGUCAUUGCCAAGAGCAGGUUCCCUGCAGCAAAGAGCUGUCGUGGGGCAGGGUGGGGGCCCUACUGAGGAGAGAGAGCGGCCUUCUCGGGGCCCAGCUCCCCUCUCCGCUAUCAUAUCUGAGACAGGCUGACCCUCCAGCCCUGCAGCCCAGCCCAGGAACAGCAACCACUUCCUGGAGCGAGUUCCCUGAACAGGCGGCCCUCAGGCCAGGCUCCGGGAGGUCAGCUCUGUAGGAAAGAGGGAGGGGCACAGCCUUGGGGAGCCUGAGGCAUCCCCAGCAGCGCUCCUGCCCCUGAGGGCCGCCAGCUCAGGGCAAGGCCCACGUUAGCAAGCCCCACACAGGCUGUGCUGCUUCCAAGACACCUCUGCCAGGCAAGGGGCCUAUGCCACCCAGCAGCUAUGUGACCUGGGCCAUGCCUCUUGCAUGUCCUGAAAACAGGGAUAAGCCCUGCCCUGCCCUGAGCUGGGAUCCUUGGCAGCACAGAGGCUGAUGGGGACAGGCUGGAGGUCCAGGCUGGCCAGGGACACACCCAGCAUCAGGGAAUCUAAGGCCUGAUCACCCAAGCGCCCCCGCCACCUGGGGGGGGGUGUGGGCAGUUACCUCCUCCAUGAGACAGUGGCAUCCAGCACCCUCAGCACACCGUGGUGACCACAUCUUGGUAUAACUAUAUAUGCUAAUUAUAAACAGCAAUUAUUAUUGAAAGAGCACUGGCCUUGGAAGUCAGAAGCUGCAGAUAUGAACCCCAGCACUGCCGCCUCCAGGCUGUAUCCUCCAGUAAGUUCUUGAUCUCCUUAGUGCCGGUUCUCUGUCCGCAAAUAAGGAUCCAGCGCUGACUCUGAGCAACAGAGAAAACAGUGGAAGGGAAAGUCUGCCAACUGCAAAUGGUCACAUCUCCUCCAUCA